rnacentral:rRNA from 1 species
CACGUAAGGCGCAAGCGUUGUCCGGAAUUAUUGGGCGUAAAGAGCUCGUAGGUGGUCUGUUGCGUCCGCUGUGAAAACUCGGGGCUUAACCCCGAGCCUGCAGUGGAUACGGGCAGACUAGAGGUAGGUAGGGGAGAAUGGAAUUCCUGGUGUAGCGGUGAAAUGCGCAGAUAUCAGGAGGAACACCGGUGGCGAAGGCGGUUCUCUGGGCCUUACCUGACACUGAGGAGCGAAAGCGUGGGGAGCGAACAGG